UCGAGCGAAUUUUUGGGAGCUUGCUCCUGAAAAUUAGCGGCGGACGGGUGAGUAACACGUGGGCAACCUGCCUAUAAGACUGGGAUAACUUCGGGAAACCGGAGCUAAUACCAGAUAAUUCUUUUCUACUCAUGUAGAAAAGCUGAAUGACGGUUUACGCUGUCACUUAUAGAUGGGCCCGCGGCGCAUUAGCUAGUUGGUGAGGUAAUGGCUCACCAAGGCCACGAUGUGUAGCCGACCUGAGAGGGUGAUCGGCCACACUGGGACUGAGACACGGCCCAGACUCCUACGGGAGGCAGCAGUAGGGAAUCUUCCGCAAUGGACGAAAGUCUGACGGAGCAACGCCGCGUGAGUGAUGAAGGUUUUCGGAUCGUAAAACUCUGUUGUUAGGGAAGAAUAAGUACGAGAGUAACUGCUCGUACCUUGACGGUACCUAACCAGAAAGCCACGGCUAGCUACGUGCCAGCAGCCGCGGUAAUACGUAGGUGGCAAGCGUUGUCCGGAAUUAUUGGGCGUAAAGCGCGCGCAGGCGGUCCUUUAAGUCUGAUGUGAAAGCCCACGGCUCAACCGUGGAGGGUCAUUGGAAACUGGGGGACUUGAGUGCAGGAGAGAAGAGUGGAAUUCCACGUGUAGCGGUGAAAUGCGUAGAGAUGUGGAGGAACACCAGUGGCGAAGGCGACUCUUUGGCCUGUAACUGACGCUGAGGCGCGAAAGCGUGGGGAGCAAACAGGAUUGGAUACCCUGGUAGUCCACGCCGUA
rnacentral:rRNA from 1 species